CACGUAGGGUGCGAGCGUUGUCCGGAAUUUAUUGGGCGUAAAGAGCUCGUAGGCGGUGUGUCGCGUCGGCCGUGAAAAACCUGCAGCUUAACUGUGGGCUUGCGGUCGAUACGGGCAUCACUGGAGUUCGGCAGGGGGAGACUGGAAUUCCUGGUGUAGCGGUGGAAUGCGCAGAUAUCAGGAGGAACACCGAUGCGAAGGCAGGUCUCUGGGCCAUUACUGACACUGAGAAAGCGAAA
rnacentral:rRNA from 1 species